rnacentral:rRNA from 2 species
AGAGGAAAACAAUCCAGACCGCCAGCUAAGGCCCCAAAAUCAUAGUUAAGUGGGAAACGAUGUGGGAAGGCAUAGACAGCUAGGAGGUUGGCUUAGAAGCAGCCACCCUUUAAAGAAAGCGUAAUAGCUCACUAGUCGAGUCGGCCUGCGCGGAAGAUGUAACGGGGCUAAAACUAUGUGCCGAAGCUGCGGAUGUAUACUUUGUAUACGUGGUAGGGGAGCGUUCUGUAAGCCGAUGAAGGUGUGUUGAGAAGCAUGCUGGAGGUAUCAGAAGUGCGAAUGCUGACGUGAGUAACGACAAAACGGGUGAAAAACCCGUUCGCCGAAAGACCAAGGGUUCCAGUCCAACGUUAAUCGGGGCUGGGUGAGUCGACCCCUAAGGCGAGGCCGAAAGGCGUAGUCGAUGGGAAAAUGGUUAAUAUUCCAUUACUUCUGUGUAAUGCGAUGAGAGGACGGAGAAGGCUAAAUCAGCCUGGCGUUGGUUGUCCAGGUGAAAGGAUGUAGGCAUGUAUCUUAGGCAAAUCCGGGGUACUCUAUGCUGAGAUCUGAUAGCAAGCUGUACUUGUACAGCGAAGUGGUUGAUGCCAUGCUUCCAGGAAAAGUCUCUAAGCUUCAGUUACACAGGAAUCGUACCCGAAACCGACACAGGUGGUCAGGUCGAGUAGACCAAGGCGCUUGAGAGAACUCUGCUGAAGGAACUAGGCAAAAUGGUACCGUAACUUCGGGAGAAGGUACGCUGUUGUUGGUGAUGGAACUCGCUUCCUGAGCUGACGACAGCCGCAGAAACCAGGCCGCUGCAACUGUUUAUUAAAAACAUAGCACUCUGCAAACACGAAAGUGGACGUAUAGGGUGUGAUGCCUGCCCGGUGCUGGAAGGUUAAUUGAUGGGGUUAGCGUAAGCGAAGCUCUUGAUCGAAGCCCCAGUAAACGGCGGCCGUAACUAUAACGGUCCUAAGGUAGCGAAAUUCCUUGUCGGGUAAGUUCCGACCUGCACGAAUGGCAUAAUGAUGGCGGCGCUGUCUCCAGCAGAGGCUCAGUGAAAUCGAAAUCGCUGUGAAGAUGCAGUGUACCCGCGGCUAGACGGAAAGACCCCGUGAACCUUUACUGCAGCUUGACACUGAACUUUGACCUUACUUGUGUAGGAUAGGUGGGAGGCUUUGAAGCUGGAACGCUAGUUCCAGUGGAGCCGUCCUUGAAAUACCACCCUGGUAAUGUUGAGGUUCUAACUCUGUCCCGUGAUCCGGGACGAGGACCGUGUCUGGUGGGUAGUUUGACUGGGGCGGUCUCCUCCUAAAGAGUAACGGAGGAGUACGAAGGUGCGCUCAGCGUGGUCGGAAAUCACGCGUAGAGUAUAAAGGCAAAAGCGCGCUUAACUGCGAGACCCACAAGUCGAGCAGGUACGAAAGUAGGUCUUAGUGAUCCGGUGGUUCUGUAUGGAAGGGCCAUCGCUCAACGGAUAAAAGGUACUCUGGGGAUAACAGGCUGAUACCGCCCAAGAGUUCAUAUCGACGGCGGUGUUUGGCACCUCGAUGUCGGCUCAUCUCAUCCUGGGGCUGAAGCAGGUCCCAAGGGUAUGGCUGUUCGCCAUUUAAAGAGGUACGCGAGCUGGGUUUAGAACGUCGUGAGACAGUUCGGUCCCUAUCUACCGUGGGCGCUGGAAAUUUGAGAGGAUCUGCUCCUAGUACGAGAGGACCAGAGUGGACGAACCUCUGGUGUACCGGUUGUGACGCCAGUCGCAUCGCCGGGUAGCUAUGUUCGGAAGGGAUAACCGCUGAAAGCAUCUAAGCGGGAAGCCUACCUCAAGAUAAGAUUUCCCUAGGACUUUAUGUCCUCUAAAGAGCCGUUCGAGACUAGGACGUUGAUAGGUUGGAUGUGGAAGCAUAGUGAUAUGUGAAGCUGACCAAUACUAAUUGCUCGUGAGGCUUGACUAU